AAAUAACUGCCACCGGGUAGUAGCAAUGCUCAGGCAUUUUCCGUUUAUACCGUUAGGUCUUUGAAGGUAUAACAGAAAGUGCUAUUUUUU
rnacentral:ncRNA from 1 species